rnacentral:lncRNA from 1 species
GGAAGCGCCACACGUUGCCGAGGCCCACGCAGAAGCCCAGGCAGCACUAGUCACAACAGCAAAGACAUGGAAUCAACCUACAUGCCCAUCGUCGGUAGACUGGAUAAAGAAAAUGUGGCACAUGUGCACCAUGGAAUACUAUACAGCCAUAAAAAGGAACCAGAUCAUGUCCUUUGCAGGAACACGGAUGGAGCUGGAGGCCAUUACCUUUAGCAAACUCAUACAGGAACAGAAAACCAAAUACUGCACGUCUCACUUAUAAACAGGAGUUAAAUGCUGAGAACACCUGGGCAGAUAGAAGGGAAUAUAAGACACUGGGCCUGUCAGAGGGUGGGCGGUGGGAGGAGGGAGAGGGUCAGGAAAAAUAAUUAAUGGGUACUAGGCUUAAUACCCGGGUGAUGAAAUAAUCUGUACGCAAACCCCCAUGACACACAUUAACCUCUGUAACAAACCUGUACAUCCUGCACAUGCGGCCCUGAACUUAAAAUAAGUUUAAAAAAUUAAAAAAUAAACAUAAUCUCAUGAGGAGUUUCUGUUUAUUAAAUGUUUAGAUUGUUAGGUUUGAAUUUUUAUUUAAUUUUUCUUUCAAAUACCAUCCGGAGUGUGACAUCGAAAGCCCUCUGCACCAGCGGCACCCUCGUUGAUUAUGGAAAUUCACGGCAGCCUUGGCUUUCAUUUUCCCCAAGAAGCCUUGCUGGGGUGGACGAGCUGCACCUGCGUCUUUCUCCAGGUGGAUGAACUUUCAGGAAGCGGCACAUCCGCGGAACAAACCCCUGCCCAGAGCAGGAAACGCAAUGUUCCAGAACCCCAGCAGCCCGGCUCCCUCAGCCCCAUCCCACUUC